ensembl:lncRNA
CCGGCCCGCCGGCCGCUCGGAUCUGAGACCACUCCCCAGCCUCCAGCGCCCGAAAUUCGAGGACCGUUGCCCACACGCCACCGUUUGCCCCGGCGGCCGAGGCGGCAUGUGCAGACACGUCCUGGUCAGCACGCACGCACGGAGGAAUACUCCCCUCGGGGUCCCGGGGGCAAAGCCUUCCCCAGCCAGGACAAACUCCAGCGUGGGCUCCGGCGGUGACUUCCCCGUGCCCCACCAGCACCAGGGCCAGAACACGCGCACCCCGAAGUCACCGGUGCCCCAGUCCACACCUAGGCACGCGCACGCGGCUCGGGCUCCUCCAGGUGAGUCCCUCCUGGUCACACUCCCGCGUGUCCUUGUCCCUUUGCACGCUGAGUCCAGUGCACGCCACCCACGCACGCACGCGUCCUCCGCUGUCCGGGUGCGCGCACCCCAAGGUCCCGGCCUGCGUGAAGGAGAGGUGCAGGCAGCCCCAACCUGGGCACUUAGUCGCCUCCCAGUGCCCCCGCCUGUCAGAGGUCAGCGCUGCCCCACCAGACUUGGGGGCUGCUCUCCAAGCACCCCCGACGGGGCUGAUUCUCGGGUUGAUCUUCAGUUCAAAAGCUGGGGGCCCUUUCCGGUCGUCCCUCCGCGGCGUUUUGGGUCACCCUUCUGCCCCCUCUAGUUUCCCAGGGUGACUCUCCCUCUCCCCGGCCCCACGGAACAGGAAGACACCGCGGGCAGGCGACCUUUGCGAAGGCUGGCCCCGGGACCCACCCUUUCCGAGGCGUGCUGCUGCGCCUGAGUUUGGGGCAGACUUUCCCGAAGCUCCCAUCCCUUCCCGCGAGCCUGCUGCCUCGGGCUUCCAGUUCGGGGUCCUUCAAGCUGGUUUUUCCCGGGUCAGGCCACGUACCCCUCGGACAUGCAACUCUGCGAAAUGCCUUUUAUUUUUAAGUAAGAGUGGGAGAGAAGAAUGCCUAGGGCAGAUUCCCCUCCACCCCCCGAAUUUGCUGACGUAUCCUUUGAGCCCAGAGCAGGGCCUGGCACCCCGGGGGCGCUCACCAAAUAUCUGCAGCACCUUUAUUCCGCGUGCUCCCGCUGGACGGCGGAAGUGGAACGUGGACCGGCACUGGCUCCUGGUGGUGUCUUGUGGAACUGUCGCCGAGGUUCUUCCGUAGCGCGCAGAUUCGGCCUUCUGAGCCUCAGUGUUCUCUCCUGUAAAACAGAGCUCGUUUUAGUAGUACAUGCCUAUCCGGGUAAACAAACGAGACCUGAGAAGGGCUUUACACAAGUUCUGGCACUUGUAAAAUCCUUAGUAGGAGCUACUAAUAUUGGAAUUACAGUUACAUUCCUUUCCCCGGCUUGUUUUUAGAGAGACCUUUGAUCAUAAUGGAUGACGAUAUUUUGGAAGGAAGGAGUGAAAAUGAAGGAGGAUUCUGGUGCUUGCUGCUUUCUGCUCACCCUGCCAUGGACUGUUUCUCCUCUGUGAUAGCCCCUCUGCCAUGCUGCCCUUCCUUGGAGCCAGAUUAGUGACUAAACUUCUACAAAUGACCUUUCAGGAGCCUCUUUAUUCUGCAAGUAAUUACCUCAUAUCCCAAAUGGCUUUCCAGCUGUCCAUCCAUCUCCACAAAUCAUCUUGGCAUCACAGGGGUCUUUGGUUGGUGCCACUUCUGAAACAUCAACCGACUCCAUGGAGAAACUGGAUGAAAUGGUGGAAUCCAGACAUCUGAUCUAUUUGAAGUGCCCUUUGAAUUGCCUUAGUCCUCCAAGUGUGGCCUGCGGAACCUCCCUGGGAUCUGCAAGAUGAGAACUGUUUUAAGGACAGCUCUAAGGCCUCGGUGUCCCUUCUCACCAGCAUGGAGGCAGAGUAGCUUCCAGCAGCUUCCAGAUCCAUGUGCUGGGGCUUGAACUCAGGGCUUGAUGCUGGUUUCAUUAUGUUGCCCAGGCUGGCCUUAAGCUUCUGGAUAUAAACAAUCCUCCUGCCUCAGCCUCCCCAGUAGCUGGCCACAGAAGUGGAAGUUGAGGCACAGAAAGGAAAUGAUCAGAAAGCCUCCCGCAUUCAGAUGUUCCCCAAGAGGGACAGGCUGGGCCUUCGUGUGAAGAACAGAAUGUUCCUGGCCACUUCUGUGGGCAGGAUGAAUUUGAGGACCUCAUUUCUUCUGCUGGGACUCUGACCUCGUUCAACAUCACUGGGAAUGAUAGUGGACAGGGCACUGUCCACUACAUCCUAUCUAGAAACAAUAAAAUAAGAAAUCUUAAAAUUCCAAUGUAUAGAGUCUGUGUUUUAUAUAUCUGUUCAUCAGCUGAUGGGCAUCUCAUUGCUUUCGCUUUGAACUAUAGUGAACAAUGCUGCUAUAACCGUUUGUGUACAAUUCUGUGGGGCCCUAUAUUACCAUUUGGGGGGGAUAGAUACUUAGGAUGGAAUGGCUGUUUAUAUGGUAAAAGUAUGAUGGGUA